AGUGCCUAUUUAUACAUAUUUUUACCCUCUAAUAUAAUACUUUUAGUGUCGUCUGGUGAGUUAUAUGAGUUAAAUAAUAUACUUUUAGAAUAUUUCGGUUUAAUCACUUGUAAUUAUUUUUAGUGUUUAAAAGAUGAAUUUGUGUCUAUAUUAAUUAUUUAGUAAUAACCUAUCUGAAUAGAGUUCGGAAAAUGCACUAAAUUCGAGUAUUACUAAUUCUGCAGGGCUGAUAUAGUAUUUUGGUCAUAUCUCACUCAUAUGGUAUCAAAACGAGACGAUUCAAGUGGCUACGGAAAGCUGAGAUCGAGACCUACAACUUUUAAGAAGAAAGCAAGAGCUAAUUCAGCUGUUUACUUGGUCGAAAUUAUGUUGCACACAAGCAGUCCAUAUUGAUACAAUUGUAUUGAGUUGAAUAUUAAUGGCCCACAUGUAUCACUUGUACUAACUAGCUUCCAGUCCCAACAUGUACACACCACCAGCAAAUCAAGAAGGACAAAAAGCCCAAGUAUUCAUGACAAAAGAAGAGAGGAGUCAAAGGAGGAAAAGGGGUUCCUAUGACCCUAAGUUUAACGCACGAAAAUAAAAGAAAAAGUGGGCUUUUGAUUAAAAAGCCACAAAAAGAAACCCAUCCAAAGAAGAAUAAAGGGAGGAGGCGGCAGUAAGAAAGGGGGACGGAAAAAGCUGAAGGAGACGAACUAUGGAGCAGCGACGAAACAGAGUGAUGGUGGCGAAAUUUCAGUCCGAAAUUCAUCCCCUCAUGAGUUUUCUCUACUCUCUUCUAUCUAUUUUCUUUGUUUUCAUGUCUAAUUUAGAGUAGUUUACAUUAGUAGGAACAUGUAAUUGACUAUUUGAUAUAUGGGUUUAUGAGAUUGCGUUUUUGUUUGUGUUAUAAACGAUUAGUUUCUUUUGGGUAUUUAUACAAGGUUUAUCAUUUGGCUUUUGAUUCAUGUUUAUUGAUUUAGUUUGAUCACCUAAAUUAUUUCAUGUUUCCAUUGCUAGAUUAAUUGUAAUUUUAAUUAGGUUGCAGCUUUCUGGUCUAAUUAUAAUUGCUAGAAUCUUGUGUAAUAACUGAAUUCUAUUAAUUGCAGCUUACAGGUUAAUUUGGGUUCAGUUGUUUGGUGUUUCUAAUGCUGUCAAGUUUGAUAAUUUGAUACAUGCUUUCAUGGUUGGAUUAAUUUAGCUUGAUUAGGAUUAAAUUUGCGUGCUUUCACGGGAUUUAACGAGUACGAAAGAUAAAACUAGUAAUCUACUUGCUUUCAAUGGGUUAUAUAGUUAACCAAUCUAUCCUAGGCUAGUCGAAUGGAUCAAUGAUUAUACCCUAUAUCUAUAGAAAAUUACAUGUCUCCUAUUAGUUUCUUAGUUAUAUUUUAAAACCGAAUUUAUUUCAUGCAAUUUAUAUUUUUAAUUUUAGUUUAAUAGUUUUAGUAUAAUUCUGAUAUUUGAACCCCCCCAAUUUUUAGAAUAGUAGUUUUAUAUAUAAUUAAAUAAUCAGUUUAAGAUAAUAAUGCAGUCUCUGUGGGUUCGACCCUUACUUUCCCUAUCUAUUUGUUAGAGUUAGUGAGUGAUUUAUAAAUUUAAUUUUGUUGCGAAAACGACGCGCAUCAAUGGUCAAUCACUAGCUCUAACUAGUUUGUAGAGUUCGGCUUUAUUUUUCUAGGUAUAUCAUGUUUGUAGACCAGGAAGAAUAUUGUAAUCGGUUUACCCCUAUUGUUGAUCAAGUUAUGAAAGAUUUAGUUUUUAAAAGAUAUCAAGAAGAUUUUCUCAUAAAUUCUAGUACAUGUUGCUUAAUAUACAUGAAUCUCAAUCUUUAGAAGAAGAAGAUGACAAUUUAUGGGCUAAAAGUGACGAUAUAAAAUAGGAAGUUCAUGAUCCACUAGAAGAAUUAAAUUUAGGGGAUAACGAAAAUCCACGUUUUACUUACACAAGUAAGUUUCUCACUAGUCAAGAAAAACAUGAAAUCAUUGAAAUUCUAAAAGAAUUUAAAGAUUCUUUGGCUUGGCAGCUGCAUGAAAUGCCUGGUAUUGAUAUGACAAUAAUAGAACAUAUAUUACCUACUAAAGAAGGAUAUAAGCCUGUGGCCCAAAGUCCUAGAAGACUGGCGCCAUAACUUACAGAACCUAUACAAGAGGAGAUAAACAAACUCCGAUCCUUAAGGCAAAGUUCAGAAGGCCUUGCCAAUAUGCUGACUGGAUUUCUAAUAUAGUAUCGGUAGUUAAGAAAAAUGGCAAGAUAAGAAUAUGCAUUGACUUUAGGAAUUCAAAUAAAGCCACACCUAAAGAUCAAUAUCAUAUGCCUGUAGCUGAUCUUCUAAUAGAUGCAGCAUCAAGAUAUGAAUAUAUAUCUUCAAUGGAUGGAUAUGCAGGAUAUCACCAAUUAAGGAUUGCACAAGAAGACUGUAAUAAAACAACUUUUAUAUAUCCAAAGUCAUUAGGUUUGUUUGAAUCUGUAGCCAUGUCAUUUGGUUUAAAAAAUGUUGGCGCCACACAUCAAUGAGCGAUGGAUGCAAUCUUUAAAGAUAUGAUUGGUAAGUUUAUGGAAGCUUAUGUGGAUGACAUCCUCGUAAAAUCAAAUGAUUUUCUAAGACAUAAAGAACAUUUGGUUAAGUCAUUCUCAAGAAUGAGAGAGUAUGGCCUAAAAUGAAUCCACUUAAGUGUGCAUUUGGAGUUAAGGCUAGUAACUUUUUUAGAUUUCUCAUCCAUAAAAACAGAAUGGAAAUUGACCAAAAUAAAGCAAAAACAGUAUUGGCAGCUAAGCCACCUUCUUACAAGAAAGAACUACAAAGGUUCCUUGGACAUGUCAAUUAUAUAUGUGAGAAGAUUCAUGGCCAAUCUAGCUGGAAAAACUAAAAAGUUUUCACCCCUAUUGAGAUUAAAACAUGAAUCAGAAUUUAAAAGGAAUGAGGAGCAUCAAAAGGCUUUUGAUCAAAUCAAACAAGAUUUGGCAAAUCCUCCCGUAUUGAUCCCUCCAAGGCAAAACGGAAAACCAUUAAGGUUUGUAUCUAUCAGCCUGUGAAGAUUCCAUUGGAAGUCUCCUUACUCAAGAAAAUGAGAAAGGACAUGAGCAGGCCAUUUUCUAUCUAAGUAGAAUCCUGCGUGAUACAGAGCGAAGGUAUACCAUGAAAGGGAAAAAGGGUGUUUGUGCUUAUAUGAUGCAUCCAUCAAGCUCAUACACUAUUUUAUGGUCUUCAUAGUGGAAGUAGUAUCUCCAACAGGUGUCAUAAAAUAUAUGAUAUCCUAACCUUUCAUAAAAGGUAGGUUAAGUAAGUGGAGUCUACAUCUACUGCAAUUUGACUUAGUAUAUGUGCCUCAAAAGACAGUAAAAGGUCAAGCUCUAGAUGACUUCUUAGCAACCCAUCCUUGCUCUGAAUUUGGGAUUAUUGAUGAGGACAUCCUUCCAUGGGUAUCGUAAUUCUUUGAUGGAUCUAAUACCAGAGAGACAACAGGAGCUGGAAUAUAUAUUCUAUCUCCUGAUGGGAUUCCAACCAACUUAGCAGUAACCCUAAAGGGUUCAUGCACUAAUAAUAGAGCAGAAUACGAAGCUCUAUUAAUUGGGUUGGAAUUAUUAUUAGAAUUAGGGGCUAAAAAAGCCAAGAUAUAUGGAGAUUCUCAGCUGGUCAUUUAUCAAAUGACUGAUGAAUUUAAAUGUAUAUCAUCUGUGUCACAGGAAUACAACAAGAAAGCACAAGAAUUGUCCAAAUAAUUUAAGAAGAUUACUUUCAUGCAUAUUCCUAAAGAAGAAAAUGGAAUAGCAGAUCAGUUAUCCCAAGUAGCUUCUGCAAGAGAAGAGAUACCUUCACCUAAUGAAGAUGUUAUUCUUCAGGAAAAGAUCCUGGAUCCUCUUAAUGAAACUGAUAAAGAGAUUUUAGAAAACAUAUUGGAAGUCUAUAGAUCGAGUUUCAAUGCUAAGAGAGGAUGAGGAUUGGAGAAAUGAAAUUAUUAAAUAUCUCCAGAAUCUAACUGGGAUGAAAGUGCCGAAUAGGGUUAAAAUGGCUGCAACUAAGUUCUGCAUACAAUUCGGUGAGUUACACAGAAAGGAUCCAAAAGGAUUACUUUUGAAAUGUGUAGAUGCUGGAGAAGCUUUAACUCUUAUGGCAGAGAUUCAUCAAGGACUAUGUGGUGCCCAUCAAAAUGGUCUAAAAACGAGAUGGAUGUUGCAUGAACAUGGUUAUUAUUGGCCUACUAUGAGAAAGGAUUGCAUCGAUUAUGCAAAAGGCUGCAAGAGAUGUCAAAAGUUUGGACCCAUCAGUAGGGCGCCAGCGUCAGAACUAAAGUACAUCCUUAAACUUUGGCCAUUUAGAGGAUGGCAGUAGAUGCCAUAGGGGAAAUCAAUCCAGCAUCUUCUAAGAAGCAUUCAUACAUCCUAGUAGUGACUGAUGAUUUUACUCAAUGGGUUGAGGCUCAGGCUUUCACCAAGAUCAAUACAUAGGUUGUGAUAAAUUUCUUGGAGAAAAAAUCUCUACAAGGUUUGGGAUUCCAGAAACCAUAAUUUUUUAUCAAGCCAGAGUGUUCUAAAACCCCCGAUUUAUUGGAUUAUCUUACUCAAUUUGGGAUUACUAAGUUGCAUUCAACACCUUACUAUGCUCAAGAAAAUGGUCAAGUUGAGGCUACUGAUAAGAUCAUUGUGAAAGAGAUCUCAAAGAUGGUAGAUAAUAAUCCUAGGAAGUGGGAUGAAUUGUUGCUAUAUGCUCUACGGGCCUAUAAGACUUAUAAAAGAGAAGCAAAAUGAGUUACUCCUUUCAAUUUAGUUUACGGGCACACUACAGUAACCCAUGCUGAAGUGAAUGUAAGGUCAUAUAGGAUAGCCUAACAAAUGGGAUUAUCAGGAGAUGACUAUUCAUAGGCAAUGAACAAUGAAAUAAUGGAUGCUCUAAAAGUCAAGGAAGAAGCAUUAGCAAAAAUGAAAAUAAAAAAUAAAAGGUUGCUAGGGCCUACAUAAAACAAGUAGGGCCUAAAGAAUUUUAAGAAAAUGAUAAGGUCUGGAAGAUGUUUCUACCAGAAGUAGCUUAUAAUGACUCCUAGCUAGGGAAAUGGUCACCCAAGCGGCAAGGUCCUUUUAUCAUUCAUAAGAAAAUGUCUGGAAAUGCAUACUUAUUAAAAGAUAUAGAUGGUAAUGUAAAAGAUAGAGCCUUAAAUGGAAAAUUUCUCAAAAAAUACCAUCCAUCUAUAUGGGAACAACAUGACCCUGUGUUUCAACAAAGACAUGCAGAAUUGUUUCAAACAUCCAGGGAUUACUAAGGUUACAUAAUCAUUAAAAAUUAUUGUUAUAUAUCUUAAACGUUCCAACAUUGUCUAAUAGCUGAACUAAGAUUUUUAAUGACUGGCCAAGCAUUACAAAGUUUCUCCCUUUGGAGGAUCAAGUUUUGCUAUACAGCCAUUUCUUUGAACAUCUCUUGCCUUAAAUUAGCAAGCUUGGUGCAUCCCUGGUCCAACUUUCUCUUUUCAACAUCAAUGGAUCUUUGGAGUGGGGACUUCUCAUUAAUAAUGUUGAUUUCCUCUAUGUUAAUCUUAGCCAAGCAAUUCUAUAAGGAUUGCCUCUCUUCAGAAAGAGACUUGAACUGUUGAUCAUAAGAAUUUAAAGAAUCUUGGGUCUAUGCAGUGAAGCUUCUAAAGAUUUAGCUUGAGCUUCCAAAGAAGCCUCCUUUUCUUGGAGUUUAUGAGCUGAAAACUUAAGAGAUUAAACUCCUAUGUCAGCAUUACGUUGCUGAAGAAGGAGAGUUUCCUUCACGUAAUCAAGACAAGGUAUCCAAUACUCAAAGCCUUGUGAUAUUAAGGAUUCCAAAAUCUGCUUAAGAGCUUGUUUAAAAGCCUGAUCAUGAUGAUUUUCUGAGAGAGCAAGGCAGAGGUUCCAUAUCUUGUCUUCUUGUUUAAUGUGCUUAGAAUGUUCAUCAUUGGGACUAUUAGCAGCAUUGCUAGAAGCAUGUUGGUCCUUCACAAUAAUGGACACAUUCACAUUUACCUCUUUUCCUCCAUCAGACCCUUUAAUCAUACUUGCUUCUUGAUUGCUUCCCUCUGCAUCAUAAAACGAAGAAGCCAAGCUAGCAAGAUAGUGAAGUCUGGUUUUUUGAGGAUAUAGAUUCAUAUAGAGGAAGUCUAAAAUGAAUUCACAAGGGAAAGAGGGCAAACGAGUCUCAGAAGAGGAUUGUGAAGCUGACACUAGUAGAAUAAAUGCUAUUUGCUGCGGUAAUAUUGCUGCGGUUUUACCUAUACGCAGCAAUAUAACACGCAAAAAGAAAAUAAAAAAUAGAAAUUGACAAUAUUGCUGCGGUUCCCGCCAAAAACCGCAGCAAUAUUGUCUAACGGAUACUUUUUAAAAUAAAGUGGGGCCUUGAACAACAAAUAUUGCUGCGGUUUCCACGUAGGACCGCAGCAAUAUAUUAAAAUAAUUAUUAUUUUAAUAUAUUGCUGCGGUUCCUUAUGAAAACCGCAGCAAUAUUGUCAUUAGGGUUUAAUAAACCUAAGGCGCGUUUCCCCUCUUAGUUCACUUUCAAUAUUGUCUAACACAAUAUCUCACUUGCUUCCUCGGCCGUUUCAUUUCUCACCCUCUCCUUCCUCUCACCUUCUCCUUCCUCUCACCUUCGUUUCCUCUCACCUUCCUUUCACCAAAAAAAAACAUCAAUCCAUGGGAACUCUCAGUCCACAACCACAAACCUCACCUUCACAAUUCAAGCUUUUCCCCGUCUCCAACGUCUCCAUUUACGUAAAAGAACGUUCGUACAGUCAAAGGCAAAUGGUAUGUUCGAGAUUACCAGUAUUCGAUACUUUCCACCAACGUCUCCAACAUCUCUCGUCGUUACUUGUCGGGAACCGCAAACGUUCCAAUGCAACCUUUUCCCCGUCGAUGUGGUUCUGAUCUAAUUUCGUCGUUACUUGUCGGGAACCGCAAAUGCAAACGCAGCAAUUCAAGGUCGGAAAUUCGAAAUUAAGGUGAACUGAUUUCUUCAAUUUGCUGUUUUUGUUUUGCAAUUUAUUCUGAUCUAAUUUCGACGAGGUUUGGCUGAUGAUUUUGUUGGAUUCUCUCUCAGUUCAUCUUCACCCUUCUCAUUUCCUCGUCCUUUCUUCGUCGGCCGUCGACGUGGUUCGAACUAGAGCACCGGUGGUUCGAUUACCAGAUUCGCGCACAUCAAAUCAUCAUCAACCACGAACACAACGACAAUAAACAAUAGGAUUGUGGAUUUUUAGUUUUUUUAGAUCUAAUAUUUGAUUUUUUUUUUCCGCUGUUUCUCGCAAGCAGAUCUGAAUUUCAGUUUCUUAUUUAUUUUUUUUAUUAUAAUUUUUGUAAUUAGUAAGUUAUAAUGUUGUUUUUUUAUAUAUUAAUGAGAUUUAUGUUGUUUUUAUUUUUAGAUUAAUUGCAUGGUUUUAAUCUUUCAAAUUUAAUUUUGAAAUGCAAAAAAACUUUUUAUUAUAAUUUUUGUAAUUAGUAAGUUAUAAUGUUGUUUUUUUAUAUAUUAAUGAGAUUUAUGUUGUUUUUAUUUUUAGAUUAAUUGCAUGGUUUUAAUCUUUCAAAUUUAAUUUUGAAAUGCAAAAAAAAAAAAAAAAAAAAUUUUUUUUUGUCAUAUAAGGACAUAUUGCUGCGGUUUUGGCCUAAAAGCCGCAGCAAUAUACUCUUUUAAAUUGAUAACACAUAAUAAUAUUGCUGCGGUUUGGCCUAAAAACCGCAGCAAUAUUUGUAGAUAUUGCUGCGGUUUAAAACCGCAGCAAUAUUAUUAAUACCUAUUGCUGCCCUCUUAAUUGCUGCGCGCCCAAAACCGCAGCAAUAGGGCACUUUUUAACCGCAACAAAUAGCAUUUAUUCUACUAGUGUGAUGAUGGACCCUUUGACAUAGGGUGUUCAAAAGUUCAAAGUUACUCCUCAAAGGUGCAACAUCUAAAGGAAUUACACUAGAUGGGACCUCACCUCUAAUAUUAGAGGGGUUUUCUAUAACGAUCGUUAGAGUAGUAGGAGAGUCUUGAAAUUCAACAUUAAAGGGAAUUGAAUCCAAAGGAUCUUCAUUAACCUGAAAGGAUAUGCCUUCUUCAGUAGAUUCCAUGCUAGGGUGCGUAGUCUCUGUCAACUGGGGGGCUCCUUGUCCUUUUAAAGUAGGGAUAGCCUCUAACUCCAACUGGGGGCAACAUUGCUUGGCGUAGAGAUGAUAGGCUUAUCAACAGGCAUAAUGAUUAGCUCAUUAAAAGAGCCACCCUUUAUAUCUAGUCCUGGAUCAACUGUUGUGGGAACAUCUGCAGAAGGUUGAUUGAUAAAGUUGAGAUUUUAAGGCUUUCUAACAUUAAGAUUUGUCGGUCUUUCAAAAGAUGGAUCACCAAGAUCCUCAGACUUUGUCAAACUAGAAGGACCUACAAUGAAAAACAGGUUAAUGAGAGAAUGAAACUUCAUGAAAAAGAGUAUAAGAAGGCAUCUACACCUGCUUUAACUCCAUGAAUUUUAAUUUUUGGGAAGAUUUAGGAUAUGGUCUUUGCAUUAUUCUCAUUAGACGAAAUGUCAUAAUGCUGGACCUCAGAAGAUGCUUCUAAUUUAGGACGUUUCCUAAUAUAGGAAUGCCUCAAGGAUUUAGGAGCUGAAAGAAAGCUGUUAUCUCUCUUCUUGGAGGCCUUCUGAACAAAUUCAUAUUGCUCCACUAGUUCUAGGGAUGGAGUGCUCUUAAAGAUAGGAAGAUAAUUGUAGUCUCUUUUCCUUGAAGCUCUCUUGAAAGGAUCAAUUUGCUCCAUUGGUCCCAUGGUUUGGAUGUCCUCUAUAGUCUGUAAAUCCUCAUAAGAAAUUCCUUAAUCAUUGGCAGCAUCAUCUUCAUCUUCUGAAGGAACAUGCUCAAGAAUUCUUUGGCCCACAAUGUUCCAGUAGAGUCUGCCAUAUCUAGAGUCCAUUUGCAUUCCCUAAGGGACUUUUAAUUUCCUUUUGCCAGCUUUUGCUAAAAAGUAAUGAAAGGUAAAAAUAAAUCAGGUAAGAUUUACUCCUCUUGAAAGCUAUAAAUAACUAAAGAAGUAGAUCACUUACAACCUAAAAAGAGUUGAUCUUCAAAAUGUGCUAUAGCAUCAGCACAUUGUUAAUCAUUUGGGAAAACAUGAUCCCACCAUGUCUGGAAGCCUUGAAUAGUUCUGGUAACCCCAUCUCUAAGGAGUAAUGGACAUAAGGGUGAAACUAAGAGUGUUGCUUCGAAGGGCUUUACCCUUCUCAAAAUGCCCCAUUGACAUCCAAGGAUCAUUGCGGGUCAGGAACUAAGAUAUAGCUAAUAAUUGGAGUAAUCCAAAUUAUCUAGCUACCAGUUGUGGGUUGUAAACUUCAAAACCAAAGUACUCAGGUUCAGCUGCUAUUAAAUCCCUGGACCUAAGAACACUACUCAAAAAGUUUCCACUCCCUAGGGAACUAGAGUGAAUGUUUACGGACUAAAGCCAAGUAAGCACUGCAUAAAGGCGCCAAGGGUCUUGUUCAGCAGUUUCAGCUUGCUUACCUGGAAAUAUAUUUCAGGUGUCAGGGUGGCUAGAAAAAACCAAGAAAUGUGAGAAAAGCAAUCUUAUAUGCCACACCUCAUAUAGAGAUAUGAGAUUAAAACUAACUUCACCACACUACUACAUAAUUGACCUUAAGUAACACAUUUAGGUAACACUUUUCAAAUUGUAGAUUUUCUAUAUAUUAAGUAACACUUUUGUAACACAUUGUCCAUUUGUAACAUUUAAGGUAACACUUUUAUAACAUGUAACAUAUUAUAGUAACACUUAUGAAAUGGUAACACUAUAAACUUUGUAAUAGGUAACACUUCUGAAAUAGUAACACUAGGAUUUUUUAAAUAGGUAACACCUCUAAAAUACUAACACUAAAAACUGUAAAACAGGGACUUUAAAAUUUUCUUUUAAUUAAUUAGCUUUUAAAUAUUUGUUGUAGGUUAAUAAAAAUUAGAAAAAAAUAAUACUAAGUCAAACAUCUAUUAGUCAUUGGCAGUUUUGGCGCAAUUCUUUGAGUCCACGACAGUCGAAAAAUUAGAGGACAAAAUUGAAAGAACCGCCCCAAUUCCAUUGCGGCCUUCCAUUCCCUUCCAAUUUCUUCUCCAAUUCCAUUAAUCCCCUUCAUUUCCGAUUUCACCCACCCCGACUCUCUGCUAGGUCGACUAAUCUAGGGUUUCUGAUAUUGAGAUUGGCGCACAAAACAGAGAAACGAGGGUAUGAGUUCUUCGUCACGAAUUGUGUCCUCAGAAGCCACCGACUAAUCUUCCUAAGGCUGCUUAGUUCUUCGGCGGAUCUUCACGGUGCGUGGUCGUGUCCUACAUACUGUAUGUCUUCUUCUUUGCUGAUUUAUUUUUUUUCGUUGCAAAGUUGAAUGUGACACCAUAAUUUAGUGCUUGACAGUUGUAUAUCUAUUCCUUGGGCUUCACUUUAGAUGAACUUAAUUAGUAAAAAUGGUGGCUUUUUAUGUUUUUCUUUCUCUCUCUGGCAUUUUUCCUUAUCUAAAUUGCAAAAAAAAGCAGUUCGUUUGAUUAAAGAUUAAGCGUUUAUGAAACGUUUCUUCAACAAUUGCCCUUUUUCGUUACUUCUAAAUUGGCAAUCUAAAUCCCUAUACAAUACAUAAAAUUUAUUAGCAAAUGAGGAGAAAUUCCCAAAGUUAGAGAGAGAUGAACCCCAAUUUUGAUUCAAAGUUCAUAAGAACAAUUCAUCGCUUAAAUCUUGAAAUCAAUUGCGAGAUGAAAAUAACAAUUGGUUCCUUCAUCUUUUUCCUUUACUCAGGUACCUUCUUCUUCUUAAUUUAUCUUCAUCUUUUUUGCUCUCUUUAUGAUUAAACCCUUAAUAUUGUACUAAAGUUUGCUUUUGUUUCUAUGCUAAAUUUAGAAUCUUUUGUGUCAGGUUAAUUUUUCUUUGCACCAAUGAUCAUUGAUUACUUUAUUGGGUUUUACAAUUUAAUGUUGGAUUCACCUGAGAAACCUUAAUUUAACCCUUAUCCAUUUUGCUUUAGUAGAAAUGUGGUAAUGUAGACUACAUAUACAGUACGAAAUGUGAUAAUACAUUGUUCUUGAUUUUGAAUUUUGAAGUUGCUAAAUUGAGCCCUAAAUGUUCUCAAAAUAGUAGAAGUUAGACAACCUUAUUGAAAGAAAACACGGGUCGAAUAUCGACACCUCGGAGAGGUCACCUUGAAGAGGAUUAUCUGGUGGGAACUAGAUACUCCUGAGAGUAGCAUCUCUUCACUUAAUUAUUAGAAUGAUGAACAUUAUAGUUCUAAAUUCGGGGAAAAUUUUGUUUGAGGAAGUGAUAGAAUUAUUUGGACUCCUGAAUUUGUGAUAUUUUACUUUUCUUGAUGGUUAUUGUUGCUGUUGGAUCUUGUAAAAUUAAUUAUAAACAAGAUCACAUAGAAAUAGAUCACACAAAGUUAUAUCAAUGCAGAGGAACUAGAAGAGGAUUAGCUAAUAAUAUAAUUUUACCCUUGUUUUUCACUUUCUAAAUUGACAGACUUGGUUCCUGGCAUUUGCAAUCUGGUUAAAGAGAACAAAGCUUGUCAAAAGUUAGCUCCAGUUAUUCCAACCUUCCUCUUUGAUCUUGUCUCUCUUGCUGCUUUUACCUCCUUCCUUUUUCUUUUGUUUCUCCCACACUCUAUCUGUAAAAAUUUUAUAUAACCUCGCAAAAUUCGAUUAGGGUUUGUCACUGUGGAGGUUGUAGAGGACAGAACUUAGUGCAACUCUUCAUUAUGGGAGCUUUAGUAUUGAACCAGGAGUCCUAAAGUAUCUAAAUAUCAAUGUAGUUUGGUAGUUGACAUUGUAACCAUGAACAAAAUUGAAUUGUGGAGGGAGGAAGGGAAGAAAGCCGAGGAGAGAGCAUAUUAUGCCUCUAGUGAUUUCUAAAGAAAUAGUAAAAGAGCAAGUCAUUUGUAUUUGGCUAUGGGAAGUACUUUUGCCAAUUGAUUACUUUGGAAAUCAUGCAUGGUGUACGAAAUGUAGUUGGCUGGGUAGAAUAAAGGGGAUAGGAUAAAGAGGAUUGCUGCAGCUUUCUGCCUGGAUAGAGCGCUCUACAAAGAAAAGUAAUGGAACUUGGACUGCAGUCUACGGACGAGAUGGACAGAUUAAGAAUACUUUUAAAUUGUAAUAACAUUACACAGUCAACAUCUUUGUAUGCUGUGGAUAUAUUUGUUGUGUUAGUGUACAAAAUAAUCUCAUUUGUUCUCGGUGUGAUAGUAGUGGGGCUGAUAGGCAAUUCAUAGCUUUUAUCUUUGUGGAAACCUUAUGUCAUUUAUUCUCAUUUGUUUUCUACUUUCUGUUGCUAAUUUAUUUCAGUGCACCAGAAUGGUGGUUAUUAGCUAAGCUGCAUUGCCAAUGAUGGAUCUAUUAUCAUUAGUAUAGUAUUAUUAGCUUGUUUUCCACAUCAAAAAAUGAAUCCAAAAAAGGUAAUUGUUAUUUGUAUACCAUAGCUUCACUCCUUGAUUAUUUAUUUGAAUCUUCAUUUUUAUUGCUUUAUGUAUCGGGUUACCAAGCUUGUCGAUUUAUCGCUUUGGUUUAUGUUCAACACGAGCGGUAUAUUUGUGCAUAACAUUGAGGUCUCAAUAACAAUCCUGAAAUUAAUAUGGAGGUCUCAAUAACAACUAGUCUAUGACAAUGAUAAAAGGGAAAAGUGCAUAACAUUGAGGUCUUAAUCUAAAAAAGUGGUACUUAAUUUGUGAGUUAUAGUUUUUAACUAACUUGGUACAUUCUUGAAAUUAAUAUGGUUUUCCAUUUUACAUAUUUUAGCACAAAAGAUAAGUCUUGCCAUGCUUAAAGACAAUGCAAGUGACUCUCAAAUAGGGAUGGCAAGUCUAGUGAAAAGGCGUCAUCCAAGCUCGAAAAAUGAAUAUAGGAGGAAUCACAAGGGAAAUUUACAACACGAAGUAGAAAGCGGCCUUAAUUGGAUAAGGAUCAAGAGAAUCAAAAUGACGAAUUGGAGUAGUAACACAUGACAUCGAGGCCGCUAAGAAAAUGGACGCAUAUGUCGAGAUGAUAACAGAUGGAGUACAAAUAUAUGAAUAUUAGAUCUAGUUUUAGAUUAUCAUAUGAAUACAUUCUUCUUGUUGGAUGAUUUUGAUUUUAGAUUGAACACAUAUUAUUUUUCAUUAGUUGAUUAUCUAUGGAAGUAGCACUAAUAGAUGUACAAAAUUCUAUAUUUAUCAUAAUAUAAUUGUCAAUUCGUAUAUUAAUUUUAAUUUAUA